rnacentral:tRNA from 1 species
GCCUCUAUAGCUCAGCUGGUAGAGCGGCUGAUUUGUAAUCAGCGGGUCGGGAGUUCGAGUCUCUCUGGGGGCACCA